GCUGUCGUCAGCUCGUGUUGUGAAAUGUUGGGUUAAGUCCCGCAACGAGCGCAACCCUUAUCCUUUGUUGCCAGCGGUCCGGCCGGGAACUCAAAGGAGACUGCCAGUGAUAAACUGGAGGAAGGUGGGGAUGACGUCAAGUCAUCAUGGCCCUUACGACCAGGGCUACACACGUGCUACAAUGGCGCAUACAAAGAGAAGCGACCUCGCGAGAGCAAGCGGACCUCAUAAAGUGCGUCGUAGUCCGGAUUGGAGUCUGCAACUCGACUCCAUGAAGUCGGAAUCGCUAGUAAUCGUGGAUCAGAAUGCCACGGUGAAUACGUUCCCGGGCCUUGUACACACCGCCCGUCACACCAUGGGAGUGGGUUGCAAAAGAA
rnacentral:rRNA from 1 species